AUUCCCCCCUCUCUCUCUCUGGAUUUCGGCUCCCAAUUUCACACUCAGGUACAGAUCGUUUGCGAGACACCCCACCCUACCCCACCCAACCAACCCCCAAUCAUCGCCCAGACCCGCCGCACCAAAUCCAUCGCCAACUCACGUUCCUCUUACUCCCCAAUUUCUCCUCCAUAGAUUUAUGGGUUCUUAUAAUAAUGAUAAUCCAUUUCGCAUCUAUGCAUAAUCACGUGUUCACAUAUUGUUAGAUGUGCUUGUAGUCAGCUUUUGUUAUAACAAUUUUGGGUUUUGGCUUAUGGGUUUAGUGCAGAAAGUGAGAAUGGACGUAAAUUCCAUGUUUCAUGCGGUGGCGAUAGCAUGCACGGCGUGAAUACGUGGUGGACCUGGUGGUGGAGUUGAGUUCCUUAGGUGUAGCUGCUGCCGUUGAUUUAGGAGGUUGCUAAGAUCUAGAGUUCAGAUGUCGAAUCAGACUGUUAAGGUGAAUAGGGACACAAUUGCGGCAUGCAUGACAUGCCCUCUUUGCGAUAAGCUCUUCCGCGAUGCCACCACUAUUAUCGAAUGCCUACAUACGUGUGAG
rnacentral:lncRNA from 1 species